GGGUUAGUAGGUUGGUCAUGCCUCUGGUAUGUACUGAUCUCACUGAUUCCUCCUUCCUGAUGAGCCGUAAUGCCAUUAAUUUGGUGUUGCAGGGAAUUUGGACUGUUACUUUGAAAAAAUUAGAGUGUUUAAAGCAAGCUAACGCUUGAAUACAUUAGCAUGGAAUAAUGAAAUAGGACGUUCGAUCCUAUUUUGUUGGUUUCUAGGUAUAGAGUA
rnacentral:rRNA from 1 species